rnacentral:rRNA from 1 species
GACGAACGCUGGCGGCGUGCUUAACACAUGCAAGUCGAACGGAAAGGCCCUGCUUUUGUGGGGUGCUCGAGUGGCGGACGGGUGAGUAACACGUGAGUAACCUGCCCUUGACUUUGGGAUAACUUCAGGAAACUGGGGCUAAUACCGGAUAGGAGCUCCUGCUGCAUGGUGGGGGUUGGAAAGUUUCGGCGGUUGGGGAUGGACUCGCGGCUCAUCAGCUUGUUGGUGGGGUAGUGGCUUACCAAGGCUUUGACGGGUAGCCGGCCUGAGAGGGUGACCGGCCACAUUGGGACUGAGAUACGGCCCAGACUCCUACGGGAGGCAGCAGUGGGGAAUAUUGCACAAUGGGCGGAAGCCUGAUGCAGCAACGCCGCGUGCGGGAUGACGGCCUUCGGGUUGUAAACCGCUUUCGCCUGUGACGAAGCGUGAGUGACGGUAAUGGGUAAAGAAGCACCGGCUAACUACGUG